UAGAGGUGUAUAAUUUGCGAACGAGUAGACACACCGCCGGAAGAUUAAAUCUUGAUCUUUUUUUUUCGGGAAUACGGGAGGACCAGGGGGAGAUCAGUCGGAGGAUUCACCGAAAAACGACUCACAAUUAUUGAUUUUCGCUCGGUGUCUCUUCGGGUAGAGAAAGGACGCUGAGACUUCGCGGCGGACCGCGCGCGUGUAACCGACGACAAUUUUGCUCCGGACAUUUUGCCGCGACAAGAGUGACGGUGUAAGCGAACACUCUCGUGUGUCUCCAGAUUAUAUCGUUAGUCUAAUUGCAUUCGGGAGUCGUUGAUUUCGCCCGGACGGUGAAAGCGGGAUAUUGCGUUAGAGGAAUAUAUCUAGCACGCUUGUAAUAUUCUUUUGGUGAAAACAGCACGAUCGCGAGAUCCCGUUCGAAAAGGGGAUUUCUCCGCGUGCGUGUGUGCAUCUGGCUCGGGUUUAAGGGGGUAUUCUGACUUGGAACGUUUCGUUUGACAACAGAACGUGGCGUUACUGGUCGGGCCGGGCGAAGCUAUUGAUGAAUCACUUAUCACAAGCAUUCCAGACGCACGAACAGCUGCCUCUUCCUAACGAUCUUCUUAACCGAAGCAAGGGAAAGAGAAGAAAAGGAAGUGAAACAAAUAGAAAGGAGGGAAAAGAAAAUCAAGGAUAAAUAUCAAAGGUUUUGAGAAAGCAUUUUCAAGAAAAUCUUGCUUUUUCCACGGAAUAAUGACGUGACGAGAUAGUGACACGACGGGUUUCGAAUUACGUGACCGGAUAUGGUUAUUUGAAAUUUUGGACAGUGCUUUGUACUUCCGACGAGAAGUCGUGAAAAUUUCACCCGAAGAGCAACACCCGCCAUUUUGACGCCGAAGUAGCACAUCUUUCCCCAAGUAGCGCAUCAAGCUUUAAAACAGCUGCGAUAACGUUGUCGCGGCUUAAAUCGCGGAAUUUUUCAUUGUCACCGCUACUUUACAAUAUCACUAUGACGUUUUGAUAAAAUUGCAGCAGGAAAAGUAGAACGACAUUUUUAAUCUUUGAAAAUUAUGUCGCGGUCGUUUGGCUGUACAACUAUUUUGCCGUAAUGAGGUUGUCGUAGCUACAUUACAGCAGUGAUAGACAGGAUAUGUCGCGGAUCGAGCUGGUCUCGCCGAAACGAGACGGCCGGAACACCGGGUUGCCGCGCGACAGGCGAGGCGGUCUCACGCGCGGAUUGUCCUCGCCGCUGUAAUUCGCGGCGUACGCCGCGAAGCGGCGCGCCGCCCGGACGGUCCGCCCGCGAGCGAGUUCCCUCACGCCGGGUAUAUCAAAGCUCUUUGCAACAGCGAGUAGCCGUAUCAUUCUUAUUUAAAGUCCUCGGAUAUAGUUAACAGGACUAAAUCAGUUAAAACAUUCGAGGAAUUAAGAAAAAAAUGUCGAGAUAUAAUUUUUAACCCAGUUCUCGUUUCGAUAGUUUAUACAUUUUAGAUCUUGAUCUAAUAAGUUGUUACAUUUUUUCUCCAUUCAGUUCAUCUUCAAAUUUUCCAAUUACCUUCUUAUUUUUAUUACUGUGAAGGGGGAUGAUCUUUCGGGUGAUCGGAUGCGUCGAACAAGUCUAGAUUAUUUAUUAUGAACUCAUAGAAAUCAACAUCUUUAAACUCAUAUAUCUAAGAAUUAAGUGUCUUGAUGACAAUUUAAGUUUGUCAUUAAAUUCUUCUUUAAUUACAUUAUAAUGAACAUUCAUACAUUAACGAUCUCGAUAAAUCCAGUACAGCUUGUCCAGUGUAAAUUGGGCUUAUUAAACAAUACCUUCCGUUUUAUAAUUAUGAACUGCCAUUAAAUGCUCACUAAAUAUUGUUCCUGACUUGAAAUAUGUUUAUUUAUGGUUUAUUUGUAGCUUUUUGUAUCUUUUCUUCAAUUAUCACGAAACUUAUUUUAUGACUCAGGCUACUUUAAAUAAUACUGGAUUUGCGUGUCGCGAUGUUUCUUUAGCCAGCGCUUUCUCGAUAACAAUGUACACCGACGUGACGAAAGGAGAUUACACUCGGGACUAUCGGCAGCCAGGGAUUGGUCGGUCCGAGCGAGGUAUGUAUUUUAUUUUUCUUGCAACCAUAUCGAUCGUUGUUUAUACAAGCGACCAUAAAUAACCUGACUAUACUUGUGUCGGAAAAAAAAAAAAGUAACAACGGUUUAUCUCGGGGGUGCUUCUUCUUCCGACACGUCACUGUGUUCUUGGGAUAUUUACAAGGUUCCUAAAGCAGAUAAUGCUCGGCGGUGGAUCACCUCGAGAUUGCAUUAUCAUUCGAUAGAUAUUAUUCACAGAAUCACUACAUUAUCGAUAAUCAGAUUCGUGUCCGUUGUCGCGUCGCAUCGUGUCUCUCUCUCUCUCUCUCUCCUUAUUUCGAAGCGAUUCUUCGCGGGCAUCCUAAAGUUCCUUGGAAAUGCGAGACACAGGAGAAAAGUGAGACAGGAAGGACGUAACCCAGCGGUGUUCCCUCUUGAAUCAUCCGCAACUGGUGCAACGUGGCGCAACGUGGCGCAACGCGUUACAAGAUUCCUCGUGACCGCGACCUGACUCAACUCUCCGGGGCCCUCGGUCACGAUCGAUAUAGCUAUUCCGAGCCGAGGAAAUUACCGGAAAGAUUACCAUGUCCAGCUAGAAUAGCGAAGCCAACAAGGGCUAGGGGAUGCUUUCUCCGCGAGCUCGCCGACAGGUGAGGACAAUGAGCUUCCGCGGUUCGGCAAGUCGCGCAACCAACGUAACAAGCGAAGCGCAUCGCGCCAGGUUAUCGCACGCGAGUUAAUUAUAUCGAACGACGAAAAUACCGCCGCGUAUUUUAUAGCCCGCGAGUGUUUUCGUACGGGGGAGGAAGCGAUAUUUUUAUCUCUCUUGUAAGCUACAUAGAUCUCUCUCUCUCUCUCUCUCUCUCCGCCCCAAUUCGGAAGAAUCGGGCAAACUAGGUCUCGCUUCCUUUAUGUAAGAGCUACCCGAAAUGUAAUGCGUCUCAACGGCGACUUGUUUUAUCAUCCGGGAGAAAAAGAGUGGCUCUAUGCUUACUCGCGGAAUGGAUAGAUAUGAGAAUAAGCGAGUUAUAUAGGAGCGGAAGGGGGAGAGGGAGAGCGGACUACGCUCUCGUAUACGAGAAAUCGUUUAGGCGCGGUCGCGGAAGAUUCAUCGGAAAACACUCCGGGAAUAUUUGGGACGAGUUCGGGGAAGCGCAAAAUUGCGCCUCCCUCUUUCUCUCCCUCUCUCGUUCUUUUUCUUACGACGGAACAUUAUGAGGCAAAAGCCGGCUGUUUGUCCGGCUGGAGAAACCGUUUCCAUGGCGUCGUCGUUAAUUGCGCCAUUUUCUACGACGCUCGCGACUCAAGAACGAAUGUCAAACAAAACUGUUCUCCCUCAUUAUUCUAACUCAAGCAACGCGUCCUCGAAGGACCGGUAGCCUUUGUAAUGUUAAUGCCUCCGCCUUGCGUCCCGGUACCCCGUUUCCCUUCGAUCUCCUGCGAUGCCGUUUUCGUCAGACUACCGUAACGUCAGGUCGAUGGAUGAUCGAUUAUUAGGUCACCCCUGAGUACCUGUACAAAUUCCGUACAGUUCUUGGAAAGAGGCAAUCAUUCUUUCCAUCGUUGUUCCCAUACAUGAAUGGCCAAUUGAGUGCGUCGCCUCGGCUGUAAGGAAUCCAAAAGCAAAGACGAUGGUCACCUCCAUCGUCGUAGCCUACUUCUGAAUAAUGCAACGAUCCACGUUGCCCCGUCACAUGAAUAUAUUAUAUGUGAAAAUAUAUUAUUUAAAUAUUCACCAGGAACGGGUGGAAUCUCUAAAACGGCAUAGAAGUCCAUUAUUAACCGGUUUAAGCCUUUUCAUUCUUAAAAUUGUACAAUACAUGUAGGUGCACAUCUGAUAAGGCUUGAGAUUCUUUGAAUAAAAAAAAUUGACUAUCCCUUUUCACCCUUACAUCAUGUUGGUUUCGUUAGAUUGAUUAGAUGUUAGAUUUAGCAUGAAAUAUUUCCUCAGUUUUCAAUGAAAAAAUUUAUGAAAGAGAUUAAACCGUAAGAUAAGUCAUUAAAUAAUUUAAUAGUUGAGUAGUUGAGACGCACAAAAUCGUCACUAACCGCAUAAGUAAUAAAUUGGUUGCAUUAAAAAUCACUUAUUUUGAUCUUUAAGGGGAUCCCGCAGUCAUCCUGUUUCACCGCAAAUUUGUUAGUAUAAUACUCGUUACUGAUUACACAGAAUUAAAAUCC